rnacentral:rRNA from 1 species
UACGUAGGGUGCAAGCGUUGUCCGGAAUUAUUGGGCGUAAAGGGCUCGUAGGCGGUCUGUUGCGUCCGCUGUGAAAACUCGGGGCUUAACCCCGAGCCUGCAGUGGAUACGGGCAGACUAGAGGUAGGUAGGGGAGAAUGGAAUUCCCGGUGUAGCGGUGAAAUGCGCAGAUAUCAGGAGGAACACCGGUGGCGAAGGCGGGUCUCUGGGCCGAUACUGACGCUGAGGAGCGAAAGCGUGGGGAGCGAACAGG